rnacentral:rRNA from 1 species
UUCAGACGAUGCGUCAUGCAUAUCAAUAAGCGGAGGAAAAGAAACUAACUAGGAUUCCCUCAGUAACGGCGAGUGAAGCGGGAAGAGCUCAAAUUUGAAAUCUUCAAGGUUUUACCUUGACGAAUUGUAGUUUAAGGAAGUGUUUUCUGUUGGAGUUUUGGUAAAAGUUCUUUGGAAAAGGACAUCAUAGAGGGUGAGAAUCCCGUAUUUGACCAUUAUCUCCAGCUUUGUGAUACACUUUCAAAGAGUCGGAUUGUUUGGGAAUGCAGUCCAAAAUGGGUGGUAAAUUUCAUCUAAAGCUAAAUAUUGGCGAGAGACCGAUAGCGAACAAGUACCGUGAGGGAAAGAUGAAAAGAACUUUGAAAAGAGAGUUAAACAGUACGUGAAAUUGUCAAAAGGGAAGCGUUUGACACCAGUGUUGUUUUCUCGAAAAUCAAUUAAAAAGAGUUGGAUUUUGUGUUGUAUUGACCUUAACAGCUUGCUUCACUCUUUUCCUGCUUUUUUUAAUGCACUUUUCGUUUAACAAGUCAACAUCAGUUUCUUUUGUUGUAAAAGGGUCAUUGGAAGGUGGCUUUCUCUUCGGAGAAAGUGUUUAUAGCCUUUGAUCUCUGCAAUCGGAGAGAUUGAGGUCCUGCAGCGUAGAUCCUUCGGGGUUAGAUACGUUUGUGCUAAGCUACAGCUUUUCAUAGACAACUUGUUGACUAUGUUUAGUCUUGUAACUUACCCGCUUAUGCUAUUUUACCUACGCUUAGGAUGUUGAUAUGCAUGACUGAUAU